rnacentral:rRNA from 1 species
GUCCUCCGUAUUCGGACUUCCAUCUCAGUUGGAUCGGGUGCUGCGACUUUGUUCUGGUUUGACCCUUGGGCGGGAGACACCCCCUUCGCGACCCGCUUCCCCGACCUCUUCGCCAUCGCCGUCGCCCCCUCGAUCUUAGUAGAGAGGGGCCUUAUUGACUUAGGGCACCUCGCUUUCAGGAGGCCAUUUGGGCCUCCGGAAGCCGCCGCCUGGCAGGAGCUGCUUGAUUGCGUCGCUCUCCAGGAGCCGGUAGUGGAUGCUGACCCGGAUGAGGUGCGGUGGCGUCUUGAGCCUUCGGGCCAAUUCUCCACCAAGUCCCUCUACAUGGCCAUCGCCCCCUCCCCCGCUCCCCCUCCUUUCGUUGUAUGGCCCAUUCGCCUGCCACUAAGAAUCUAGAUAUUCAUGUGGCAAUGGAUCCGCAGAUGGAUCCCAUCUGGGGUGGAGGUUCGCAAACGCAAUGGCCCUGGUCCGACCUCUACCCGCUGUGUGGUAUCCCCGAAGAUUCGAAUCACAUCUUCUUCUCCUGUGUAUCUGCUCAAUUCGUGUGGAGCUGCUUUAGAGGUUGUUUGGAUAAAUGGAAUAUAUAGAAUCCAUUCUCUAUAA